AACGCUGUGUGUAGCUGGUUGACAUCGGGUCAGAUCUGUUUUAUUGUUAGCAUUUGGUCCCCUUCAACCAGCUGUAGCAGUGAUUGAUA
rfam:Glossina brevipalpis unplaced genomic scaffold Scaffold25, whole genome shotgun sequence.